UACGGGGGGUGCAAGCGUUAAUCGGAAUUACUGGGCGUAAAGCGUGCGUAGGCGGUUGGGUCAGUCAGCCGUGAAAGCCCCGGGCUUAACCUGGGAACGGCGGUUGAGACGGCCCGACUCGAGUGGGCUAGAGGAUCGUGGAAUUCCCGGUGUAGCGGUGAAAUGCGUAGAGAUCGGGAGGAACACCGAUGGCGAAGGCAGCGGUCUGGGGCCACACUGACGCUGAGGCACGACAGCGUGGGGAGCAAACAGG
rnacentral:rRNA from 1 species